rnacentral:rRNA from 1 species
UCUUGGUUCAGGACGAACGCUGGCGGCGUGCCUAAUACAUGCAAGUCGAACGGUCUUUUCUAUGGAAGCUUGCUUCCACUGAGAAGAUAGUGGCGGACGGGUGAGUAACACGUGGGUAACCUGCCCAUAAGAGGGGGAUAACAUCCGGAAACGGGUGCUAAUACCGCAUAGUUUUCUUGAUCGCAUGAUCGGGAAAGGAAAGACGGCCUUUGUGCUGUCGCUUAUGGAUGGACCCGCGGCGUAUUAGUUAGUUGGUGAGGUAAUGGCUCACCAAGACGAUGAUACGUAGCCGACCUGAGAGGGUGAUCGGCCACAUUGGGACUGAGACACGGCCCAAACUCCUACGGGAGGCAGCAGUAGGGAAUCUUCCGCAAUGGACGAAAGUCUGACGGAGCAACGCCGCGUGAGUGAAGAAAAGGUUUUCGGAUCGUAAAACUCUGUUGUCAGAGAAGAACAAGUUGGAGAGUAACUGCUCCAGCCUUGACGGUAUCUGACCAGAAAGCCCACGGCUAACUACGUGCCAGCAGCCGC